AUACGAGGGGUGCAAGCGUUAUUCGGAAUUACUGGGCGUACAGGGUGUGUAGACGGCAUAUUAAGUCCGCUGUUAAAUCCUCCGGCUUAACCGGAGAUCUGCGGUGGAAACUAGUAUACUUGAGGAUGGAAGAGAGAAGUGGAAUUCCCGGAGUAGCGGUAAAAUGCGUGGAUCUCGGGAGGAACACCAAUGGCGAAGGCAGCUUCUUGGUCCAUUCCUGACGUUGAGACACGAAAGCGUGGGUAGCAAACAGGAUUAGAUACCCCAGUAGUCC
rnacentral:rRNA from 1 species